rnacentral:misc_RNA from 1 species
GAUGAAGAACGUAGCGAAAUGCGAUAAGUAAUGUGAAUUGCAGAAUUCAGUGAAUCAUCGAAUCUUUGAACGCAUCUUGCGCUCCUUGGUAUUCUGAGGAGCAUGCCUGUUUGAGUGUCAUUAAGUUCUCAACUACACUGACUUUGAAUUGGUGUGGCUUGGAUUUGGGGGGAAAAUUGUUGUGGGCUUUUUGUAUAGUCUGCUCCCCUGAAAUUGAUUAGCGGUACCUUUGUGGAACUGUCUACAGGUGUGAUAAUUAUCUACAUCUUAGACAUCUGCUGGAAUGCUGCUUUCUAAACCUUACUUGUAUUGACAAUCUUGACCUCAAAUCAGGUAGGACUACCCGCUGAACUUAAGCAUAUCAAUAAGCGGAGGA